UUGCAAUGAUGACUAUCUUAGGACACCUUUGGAAAACCCAUGAAAACAAUCUUUUAUUCUGAGCAAC
rnacentral:snoRNA from 1 species